UUUCAUUUUGUUAUCAAGGAUCGUGUGGUAAGAAGAAUCUAGCAUUAAAUAAGAAAUGUGGGCAAAGUUCAUAUAAGGAUGGAUAUGCAUGUGGUUUGGCUGUUGAUGGGAAUUUCAAUACCGUUAUACACACAACAUAUUUCUGGAAGAAUAAUGCUUGGCACGGCGAAAGUAACCCGUAUUGGUGGGUUGAUUUGGAAAGCAGUUGUGUGGUAAAACUAAUCAAAAUAUACAACAGAAAAGAUUGUUGUGGUAAAAGAUUCCGCAAUGUAGAAGUUACCAUUGGAUAUUCAUUAGCUUAUAUGAAGUUUUGUGGGUAUUAUAAAGGAACAGCUACAAAAGGAGAAAUAAUAUAUAUGUCCUGCAGAGAACCGAUGGUAGCACGUUACGUAAAGGUGAUGAUGAAGGACCAGAAUACAGAAGAAACAAUACUAAAUUUUGCGGAAGUUCAAGUGUUCUCUUAGAAAAUAAAAAAGUAUCUGAGAUAUCUAAA